rnacentral:rRNA from 1 species
CGUAGGAGACGAGCGUUAUCCGGAGUUACUGGGCGUAAAGUGUGUGCAGGCGGUUCGGCAAGUUGGAUGUGAAAUCUCCCGGCUCAGCUGGGAGGGGUCGUUCAAUACUACCGAACUUGAGGUCAUCAGAGGAAGGUGGAAUUCCGGGUGUAGUGGUGAAAUGCGUAGAUAUCCGGAGGAACACCAGUGGCGAAGGCGGCCUUCUGGGAUGAUCCUGACGCUCAGACACGAAAGCUAGGGGAGCGAACGGGAUUAGAGACCCCGGUAGUCCUAGCUGUAAACGAUGUAGACUUGGCGUCGGAGGGUUCAAAACCUUCGGUGUCGUAGCUAACGCGAUAAGUCUACCGCCUGGGGACUACGGCCGCAAGGUUA